GCGGGUGUAGCUCAGUGGUAGAGCGCCUGCUUGCCAAGCAGGAGGUCGCGGGUUCAAAUCCCGUCGCCCGCU
rfam:Thermosipho melanesiensis BI429, complete genome.